rnacentral:rRNA from 1 species
AACGAACGCUGGCGGCAGGCUUAACACAUGCAAGUCGAGCACCCCGCAAGGGGAGCGGCAGACGGGUGAGUAACGCGUGGGAAUCUACCCAUCUCUACGGAAUAACGCAUGGAAACGUGCGCUAAUACCGUAUACGUCCUUCGGGAGAAAGAUUUAUCGGAGAUGGAUGAGCCCGCGUUGGAUUAGCUAGUUGGUGGGGUAAAGGCCUACCAAGGCGACGAUCCAUAGCUGGUCUGAGAGGAUGAUCAGCCACACUGGGACUGAGACACGGCCCAGACUCCUACGGGAGGCAGCAGUGGGGAAUAUUGGACAAUGGGCGCAAGCCUGAUCCAGCCAUGCCGCGUGAGUGAUGAAGGCCCUAGGGUUGUAAAGCUCUUUCACCGGUGAAGAUAAUGACGGUAACCGGAGAAGAAGCCCCGGCUAACUUCGUGCCAGCCGCCGCAGUAAUAC